GAUGAACGCUGGCGGCGUGCCUAAUACAUGCAAGUCGAGCGAACAGACGAGGAGCUUGCUCCUCUGACGUUAGCGGCGGACGGGUGAGUAACACGUGGAUAACCUACCUAUAAGACUGGGAUAACUUCGGGAAACCGGAGCUAAUACCGGAUAAUAUAUUGAACCGCAGGGUUCAAUAGUGAAAGACGGUUUGGCUGUCACUUAUAGAUGGAUCCGCGCCGCAUUAGCUAGUUGGUAAGGUAACGGCUUACCAAGGCGACGAUGCGUAGCCGACCUGAGAGGGUGAUCGGCCACACUGGAACUGAGACACGGUCCAGACUCCUACGGGAGGCAGCAGUAGGGAAUCUUCCGCAAUGGGCGAAAGCCUGACGGAGCAACGCCGCGUGAGUGAUGAAGGUCUUCGGAUCGUAAAACUCUGUUAUUAGGGAAGAACAAAUGUGUAAGUAACUAUGCACGUCUUGACGGUACCUAAUCAGAAAGCCACGGCUAACUACGUG
rnacentral:rRNA from 1 species